UUCUUACCAACCGACGGAUGCGCCGAUAAUGCGACGAUAGUCGACUUAGUCUUGAGGCAUAGCCAUAAGCACUUUAGAUCUUGCUACAUCGCAAAUUUAGAUGUAAGCAAGGCAUUUGAUUCUCUAUCACAUGCAUCUAUAUACGACACCUUACGUGCUUAUGGUGCGCCAAAGGGCUUCGUUGACUACGUACAGAACACGUACGAGGGCGGUGGUACCAGUCUCAAUGGGGACGGUUGGAGUUCAGAGGAAUUCGUCCUGCUAGAGGAGUGAAGCAGGGUGACCCUUUGUCUCCUAUUCUAUUUAACUUGGUAAUGGACAGGUUACUUAGAACCUUACCCAGCGAAAUUGGUGCCAAAGUCGGAAAUGCCAUUACUAACGCGGCCGCGUUUGCAGAUGAUUUGGUACUAUUUGCGGAAACUCGGAUGGGGCUUCAAGUAUUGUUGGACAAGACGUUGGAUUUUCUAUCUAUCGUCGGCCUCAAACUUAAUGCCGACAAAUGUUUUACCGUUGGCAUUAAGGGCCAGCCGAAACAGAAGUGUACGCGUGUUAGAGGCACAGAGCUUCUACGUAGGCUCGAGUGAGAUUCCAUCACUGAAGCGCACGGACGAGUGGAAGUACUUAGGCAUCAACUUCACUGCAACCGGGGGGUUCGAUGCAAUCCGGCCGAGGACAUUGGUCCAAAGCUACAAAGAUUGACAAAGGCCCCCCUCAAACCACAACAGAGGUUGUUCGCCCUUCGGACUGUCCUUAUCCACAGCUCUACCACAAGUUAGCCCUUGGAGUGUGGCGAUAGGCGUCCUAAGAAAAACUGAUAAACUUAUAAGAUAUUAUGUGCGAAGAUGGCUAAAUCUUCCGCUGGAUGUGCCGAUAGCAUUUGUUCAUGCACCCCCAAAAAGUGGGUCUCGGAAUUCCAUCACUAAGAUGGGUAGCUCCAAUGUUAAGGCUAAGACGCUUGAGUAACAUUAAAUGGCCUCACCUCACGCAAAACGAGGUAGCCAGCUCUUUCCUCGAAGCCGAAAAACAACGGGCCCGAGAUAGAUUAUUAGCUGAACAAAAUGAACUGUUAUCGCGUCCGGCAAUAGAAAAAUAUUGGGCGAACAAGUUGUACCUCUCAGUUGAUGGUAGCGGACUCCGUGAAGCGGGCCAUUAUGGCCCGCAACACGGGUGGGUUAGUCAACCCAGCGUUUAUUAACAGGAAAGGAAUAUAUAGACGGUAUUCGUCUGCGGAUAAAUGCCCUACCCACAAAGUCUCGUACUACAAGGGGAAGGCACGAAUUGGAACGACAGUGUCGUGCAGGAUGUGAUGCUCCCGAAACAACAAACCACAUAAUGCAAAAAUGCUACCGCUCGCAUGGGAGGCGGGUAGCUAGACACAACUGCGUAGUAAAUCGAAUCAAGCGGGGACUUGAGGAGAGAGGCUGCGUGGUCAUUGUUGAACCAAGUCUGCAGUGCGAAUCCGGCCUUAAUAAACCAGACCUGGUGGCACUACGACAAAAUCACAUUGAUGUGAUCGACAUACAAAUUGUGACAGACGGACACUCUAUGGAUGAUGCGCACCAGCGCAAAAUCAAUAGAUACGACAGACCGGACAUACGAACUGAAUUGCGUCGCAGAUUCGAAGCCGCAGGUGACAUUGAAUUCCAUUCUGCCACCCGAACUGGAGGGGGAUCUGGAGUGGUCAAUCCGUUAAAAGAUUGAUAGCAAAGGGUCUCCUCAGCAAAUAUGAUAGUCAUAUCAUUAGCGUCCAGGUUAUGAGAGGCAGUCUCGGUUGUUUUAAACAGUUCAUGUACCUGAGGCGGGUUUUCCGCGAGAUUGGACUUAGCUAAAUCGUUUGGUUCAAAACAUUUGCUUGCUGUCUUGGCAUAACAUCAAUAAAGGCAUAAACAUCGCAAAAUAAUGGUUAUAAUUAAAUGGCUAUGAGGAUGGUUUUAGUACGUAGGCGUUGCGGAACUUCGGUUCAUAUAGAGCAAUGAAUCGUGCAUGCUAGGAAAACUGACCACACACAGUGUUGGCAGACCUAGUAUCUUUCGAAGAUUUCCAUACCUCCGCGAUCAAAAAAAAAAAAAAAAAAAAAAAAUAGCCAAAUGCCUCGUCAUCUAAUUAGUGAGCGCGCAUGAAUGGAUUAACGAGAUUCCUACUGUCCCUAUCUACUAUCUAGCGAAACCACAGCAGCAAGGGAACGGGCUUGGAAUAAUUAGCGGGGAAAGAAGACCCUUUUGAGCUUGACUCUAAUCUGGCAGUGUAAGGAGACAUAAGAGGUGUAGAAUAAGUGGGAGAUAUUAGACCUCGGUUUGGUAUCGUCAAUGAAAUACCACUACUCUUAUUGUUUCCUUACUUACUUGAUUAAAUGGAACGUGUAUCAUUUCCUAGCCAUUAUACGGAUAUAUUUAUUAUAUCUUAUGGUAUUGGGUUUUGAUGCAAGCUUCUUGAUCAAAGUAUCACGAGUUUGUUAUAUAAUCGCAAACAAAUUCUUUAAUAAAACGAUGCAUUUAUGUAUUUUUGAUUUGAAAAUUUGGUAUAACUCCAAUUACUCAGGUAUGAUCCAAUUCAAGGACAUUGCCAGGUAGGGAGUUUGACUGGGGCGGUACAUCUCUCAAAUAAUAACGGAGGUGUCCCAAGGCCAGCUCAGUGCGGACAGAAACCACACAUAGAGCAAAAGGGCAAAUGCUGACUUGAUCUCGGUGUUCAGUACACACAGGGACAGCAAAAGCUCGGCCUAUCGAUCCUUUUGGUUUAAAGAGUUUUUAACAAGAGGUGUCAGAAAAGUUACCAUAGGGAUAACUGGCUUGUGGCGGCCAAGCGUUCAUAGCGACGUCGCUUUUUGAUCCUUCGAUGUCGGCUCUUCUAUCAUUGUGAAGCAAAAUUCACCAAGCGUUGGAUUGUUCACCCAUGCAAGGGAACGUGAGCUGGGUUUAGACCGUCGUGAGACAGGUUAGUUUUACCCUACUAAUGACAAAACGUUGUUGCGACAGCAUUCCUGCGUAGUACGAGAGGAACCGCAGGUACGGACCAAUGGCACAAAUACUUGUUCGAGCGAACAGUGGUAUGACGCUACGUCCGUUGGAUUAUGCCGAACGCCUCUAAGGUCGUAUCCGUGCUGGACUGCAAUGAUAAAUAAGGGGCAAUUUGCAUUGUAUGGCUUCUAAACCAUUUAAAGUUUAUAAUUUACUUUAUAAACGACAAUGGAUGUGAUGCCAAUGUAAUUUGUAACAUAGUAAAUUGGGAGGAUCUUCGAUCACCUGAUGCCGCGCUAGUUACAUAUAAAAGCAUUAUUU
rnacentral:rRNA from 1 species